rnacentral:rRNA from 1 species
UUAUUGCUAUCGGGGUCCGAUUCAGCCAUGCUAGUUGUACGGCUUUAGACCCGUAGCAAAUAGCUCGGUAACACGUGGUCAAACUACCCUCUGGACCGGAAUACCCUCGGGAAACUGAGGCUAAUUCCGGAUACUGCUUUCAUGUUGGAACACAGAAAGUCGGAAACGGUCCGCCGCCGGAGGACGUGACUACGGCCGAUUAGGUAGACGGUGGGGUAACGGCCCACCGUGCCGAUAAUCGCUACCGGGUCGUGAGAGCAAGAACCCGGAGACGGUAUCUGAGACAAGAUACCGGGCCCUACGGGGCGCAGCAGGCGCGAAACCUUCACACUGCACGCCAGUGCGAUAAGGGGACCCCGAGUGCGAGGGCAUACAGUCCUCGCUUUUCGUGACCGUAAGAAGGUCUCAGAAUAAGAGCUGGGCAAGACCGGUGCCAGCCGCCGCGGUAAUACCGGCAGCUCGAGUGAUAGCCACUAUUAUUGGGCCUAAAGCGUCCGUAGCCGGCCGAACAGGUCCGUCGGGAAAUCCACCCGCUCAACGGGUGGACGUCCGGCGGAAACCAGUCGGCUUGGGGCCGGGAGACCAGAGAGGUACGUCCGGGGUAGGAGUGAAAUCCCGUAAUCCUGGACGGUCCGCCGGUAGCGAAAGCGUCUCUGGAGAACGGACCCGACGGUGAGGGACGAAAGCUUGGGUCUCGAACCGGAUUAGAUACCCGGGUAGUCCAAGCUGUAAACGAUGCUCGCUAGGUGUGGCGUUGGCUACGAGCCAGCGCUGUGCCGUAGUUA